GAACGCACAUUGCGCCCGCCAGUAUUCUGGCGGGCAUGCCUGUCCGAGCGUCAUUUCAACCCUCGGGCCCCCCUCUGCGGGCGGCCCGGCGUUGGGGCUCAGGCGCCGUCUCUGCUCGGCGCCUGUCCCCUAAAUGCAGUGGCGGCCUCGCCGCUGCCUCCUCCGCGUAGUAGCACAAACCUCGCGGCUGGAAGGCGGCGCGGCCACGCCGUAAAACCCCCCAACUUUACCAAGGUUGACCUCGGAUCAGGUAGGAAUACCCGCUGAACUUAAG
rnacentral:misc_RNA from 1 species